GAUGAAGAACGUAGCGAAAUGCGAUACUUGGUGUGAAUUGCAGAAUCCCGCGAAUCAUCGAGUUUUUGAACGCGAGUUGCGCCCGAAGCCAUUCGGCCGAGGGCACGUCUGCCUGGGUGUCACGCAUCGUUGCCCCCCCAAACUCGGGUUCGGGCGGGGCGGAAGUUGGCCUCCCGUGCGUGCCUGCGCGCGCGGUUAGCCCAAAAGCGAGUCCUCGGCGAUGAGCGCCACGACAAUCGGUGGUUUUUUUACCCUCGUUCCUCGUCGUGCGUGCCCCGUCGCCCGAACGCGCUCUUGCAACCCUUACGCGUCGCCUCGGUGGCGCUCCCAACGCGACCCCAGGUCAGGCGGGACUACCCGCUGAGUUUAAGCAUAUCAAUAAGCGGAGGA
rnacentral:misc_RNA from 1 species